rnacentral:rRNA from 1 species
ACGGGUGAGUAACACGUAUCCAACCUGCCGUCUACUCUUGGACAGCCUUCUGAAAGGAAGAUUAAUACAAGAUGGCAUCAUGAGUCCGCAUGUUCACAUGAUUAAAGGUAUUCCGGUAGACGAUGGGGAUGCGUUCCAUUAGAUAGUAGGCGGAGUAACGGCCCACCUAGUCUUCGAUGGAUAGGGGUUCUGAGAGGAAGGUCCCCCACAUUGGAACUGAGACACGGUCCAA